AACGCAUCUUGCGCUCCUUGGUAUUCCGAGGAGCAUGCCUGUUUGAGUGUCGUGAAUAAACCUCGGGCCUUCUUUCCUUUCGAGGGAUAAGAGGCACGGAUAGUGGACGAUUUGCUGCGCUCGAUUUGCAGCUCGUCUUGAAAUGAAUUAGAGUCGGGUCUCCGAAGGAUUAACGGUGUGAUAAGGUCUCGCCGUAAUGCCUUUUCGAUGCUGGACCCAAAUGCUCAUUUUGUCCUUUUAGUAGGACUGUCCCUUAGGGGCAUAUAAGCAGUGUGACCUCAAAUCAGGUAGGACUACCCGCUGAACUUAA
rnacentral:misc_RNA from 1 species